GGGGAAUCUUCCGCAAUGGGCGAAAGCCUGAUGGAGCAACGCCGCGUGAGUGAAGAAGGUCUUAGGAUCGUAAAGCUCUGUCCUUAGGGAAGAACCGUGGGUAUAGUUAAUGAUACCCACCUGACGGUACCUUUGGAGGAAGCACUGGCUAACUACGUGCCAGCAGCCGCGGUAAUACGUAGAGUGCAAGCGUUGUCCGGAAUUAUUGGGCGUAAAGGGUACGCAGGCGGAUAAUCAAGUCAAGCGUGAAAGGUGUCGGCUUAACCGACAGACUGCGUUUGAAACUGGUUAUCUUGAGUGUAACAGAGGAGAGUGGAAUUCCUAGUGUAGUGGUGAAAUACGUAGAUAUUAGGAAGAGCACCAGUGGCGAAGGCGACUCUCUGGGUUAACACUGACGCUGAGGUACGAAAGCUGGGGGAGCGAAUGGGAUUAGAUACCCCAGUAGUC
rnacentral:rRNA from 1 species